CUACGGGUUGCAGCAGUGGGGAAUAUUGGACAAUGGGGGCAACCCUGAUCCAGCGAUGCCGCGUGUGUGAAGAAGGCCUGAGGGUUGUAAAGCACUUUAGCCAGUGAGGAUUGUCACAUAGUUGAAUAGACUGUGUGAUUGACGUUAGCUGGAGAAUAAGCACCGGCAAACUCUGUGCCAGCAGCCGCGGUAAUACAGAGGGUGCAAGCGUUAAUCGGACUGACUGGGCGUAAAGGGUCUGUAGGUGGUUGUCUAGGUGAGAUGUGAAAGACCAGGGCUUAACCUUGGGGUGUCAUCUCAAACGGGACAACUGGAGCAUAAGAGAGGGUAGUGGAAUUUCCGGUGUAGCAGUGAAAUGCGUAGAGAUCGGAAGGAACACCAGUGGCGAAGGCGACUACCUGGCUUAUUGCUGACACUGAGGGACGAAAGCGUGGGGAGCGAACAGGAUUAGAUACCCUCGUAGUC
rnacentral:rRNA from 1 species